rnacentral:misc_RNA from 1 species
UGGUUCUCGCAUCGAUGAAGAACGCAGCGAAACGCGAUAGGUAAUGUGAAUUGCAGAAUUCCGUGAAUCAUCGAAUCUUUGAACGCACAUUGCGCCUUCUGGUAUUCCGGUAGGCAUGCCUGUCUGAGCGUCAGCAAAACCCUCAGCAAUAGCUGGUGUUGGGCGCGGAGAGAGAGACUGUUCUGCUCCCGCCUUAAAAGCUGAUGCCGCAAUCCCUUGCAGUUGAUAGAGUUGGUGUUUACAUUUCUUCUAUUAGACUGCGAGGGGGCCGCGGCCAAACCGAUAGUGUGCUCGCGCACUUUUUGAAAGUUUGACCUCAGAUCAGACAAGGAUACCCGCUGA